GUGAAGAGGGAAACAACCCAGACCGCCAGCUAAGGUCCCAAAGUCACAGUUAAGUGGGAAACGAUGUGGGAAGGCACAGACAGCCAGGAUGUUGGCUUAGAAGCAGCCAUCAUUUAAAGAAAGCGUAAUAGCUCACUGGUCGAGUCGGCCUGCGCGGAAGAUGUAACGGGGCUAAACUGUGCACCGAAGCUGCGGCAGCGACACUAUGUGUUGUUGGGUAGGGGAGCGUUCUGUAAGCCUGCGAAGGUGGCCUGUGAGGGUUGCUGGAGGUAUCAGAAGUGCGAAUGCUGACAUAAGUAACGAUAAUGCGGGUGAAAAGCCCGCACGCCGGAAGACCAAGGGUUCCUGUCCAACGUUAAUCGGGGCAGGGUGAGUCGACCCCUAAGGCGAGGCCGAAAGGCGUAGUCGAUGGGAAACAGGUUAAUAUUCCUGUACUUGGUGUUACUGCGAAGGGGGGACGGAGAAGGCUAUGUUAGCCGGGCGACGGUUGUCCCGGUUUAAGCAUGUAGGCGGAGGUUC
rnacentral:rRNA from 1 species